rnacentral:rRNA from 1 species
UACGUAGGUGGCAAGCGUUGUCCGGAAUUAUUGGGCGUAAAGCGCGCGCAGGUGGUUUCUUAAGUCUGAUGUGAAAGCCCACGGCUCAACCGUGGAGGGUCAUUGGAAACUGGGGAACUUGAGUGCAGGAGAGAAGAGUGGAAUUCCACGUGUAGCGGUGAAAUGCGUAGAGAUGUGGAGGAACACCAGUGGCGAAGGCAGGUCUCUGGGCACUUACUGACGCUGAGGAGCGAAAGCGUGGGGAGCGAACAGG